GAGGGAUAUGAGGAUAGUUGAGUCAAUCAAGAAGUCCCCAUUCAGAGCAACGCCGCAACGUUCUUUGCCCAAAACCCUGUUCAACCAGAUCCAUCAUAAUAGAAUGAUGAAGGUCCAAGCUGCCCAGAAUGCCUGCUUUGCCAAUGUCAGAUUCAGGUCCACACCUAUGUCUCCCUUAUUGUUACCUUCCAUAUAUUUUUGUUUGUAUUGAAUCUUUUUCAUUUUUGUUUUGUACUUUGUUUGAGUCUGUUGGUGGCCCUAUGUGCCCUAACAUUUUGCCUAAGGCAAAAGUGUAUAAGUGGGAA
rnacentral:lncRNA from 1 species